rnacentral:rRNA from 1 species
ACGGGAGGCAGCAGUGAGGAAUAUUGGUCAAUGGGCGGAAGCCUGAACCAGCCAAGUCGCGUGAAGGAAGAAGGUAUUAUGUAUUGUAAACUUCUUUAGACGCAGAGAAAUAAGAGGGUCGUGACCCUUGAUGCUAGUAUGCGUAGAAUAAGGAUCGGCUAAUUCCGUGCCAGCAGCCGCGGUAAUACGGAAGGUCCGAGCGUUAUCCGGAUUUAUUGGGUUUAAAGGGUGCGUAGGCGGGAAGUCAAGUCAGCCGUAAAAUCGCCGGGCUCAACCCGGUCCCGCGGUUGAAACUGUCUUCCUUGAGUACACUAGAGGGCGAUGGAAUUCGUGGUGUAGCGGUGAAAUGCAUAGAUAUCACGAAGAACUCCGAUUGCGUAGGCAGUCGCCUGGGGUGCCACCGACGCUGAGGCACGAAGGUGCGGGUAUCAAACAGGAUUAGAUACCCUGGUA